rnacentral:lncRNA from 1 species
AUUCUUAAGAUCUAUAUUUGUUUGCCUCAAUUCCUCUACUCAUUAAUUUUUGAAAGGAUUAUUUUAUCCAGAUCUCUAAGAGUAUUUUUGUCAUUAUUUGUGUAGAAUUUUGACUACACAGUUGACCAAUAUUUUUGUGGAAUUGUUUAAUUAUCAUCAGCUGACCCAUUUCCGUAAAAAGUACUGAUUUAUUUACCACCACUAAUAGCAAGAUUAUUGUUUUUGCUUUCUAUCAUUGCCAUAGGUGUCAAUACAAUAAUUUUUUUAUGGUUUGUUUGAAAUUUUCAAAAAUUGUGGCCCAGUAAUUAACUGUGGCCCAAUAACUAACUGAGGCCCAAUUAGUUAGGAAUUACAUCAGUAUUAGUUCUUUGAUAUUGUUUUUGCUUUCUAGCAUUACCGUAGGUGUCAAUAGCAUACUUUUUUUUUUAUCGUUUGUUUGAAAUUUCCAAAAAAUUAUGGCCCAACAAUUAACUGAGGCCCAAUUUUUUGGUUAUAUAUAAUCAACAAAACCCUAAUUUGGCAGAACCCUA